GCUCUGUUUGCCUUGAGACACGCGACUGCCAGGCGCAGAAAGCAACGUGGGAAAUUCUUCCGAACAAUAACCCCCUUUCACGAUAUUUCCUAACAACCUUUCAGAUUAACUGCGGAGGCAGAGCUGCGCAGGGAGUGGAUGUAGACCAUAAGGAACUCCAACGUACUUAAUGCACCAACUGAAAAGGAAUCAAAUGUUCUCUAGUUCAACGUGGUCAGGAUACAGUACCUUGGGUUCAUCCUAACCCAGUGCAUCGAAACAAUUUGCCCUCUUCCCACCUGCUGCAGGAGGCUUCAGAAUGCGCGGUGUGCUUUGAAAGGCAGCGCAAGGAGCAUGCACUGACGCCCUAUUUAGAGGCAAGAUCGUGUUAUACCACAUCGCAUGACCUGGCAUUGUUCAAAAUCCCACGCCUGGAAUCCGAAGGGUACACUGGAAGACUUUUCCAAACGGGUUAACACUCAUUUUCAAUGAAUUGGAAUUCACUUAACGACCAUAACGGCCGCACAAGACUGAACAUCACGAUUAUAGAACUCUAUCGCCUUUAUGAUGGAUUCGUUCGUUCCACCUAACCAGGACUGUUCCGCACGUGCCCAGAAACUACCCCCACCCCCACCCACACAACACAC